rnacentral:lncRNA from 1 species
UGGCAGAAGAAGUAGAUAACAUGUUGUAAUGAUAGUCCUACAAAUAAGAUGGUUUAUGUGUUGGUCUGGUUGAUUUCCUUUGUGGAGUAGCAGUGGCAGGUUCAACAGAAACAGGUUGAGAAGAAAAACUAAUAGGUUCUAGAACAAUAGAAGGAGGAGAUGUAGGUGGUAAAGAGGGUUGAUCAGUAACUUCUGAGAAAAGAGGUGAUGGAGAUGAAUUGAUUUUGGUGACAAAAUCCAAGGAAUUUUGUGUAUCAAUAGGUGUGUGCUUAUCACUAGUAAGAAAAGGAAAUAUGUUUUCAUAAAA